rnacentral:rRNA from 1 species
UACGGGGGGGGCAAGCGUUGUUCGGAAUUACUGGGCGUAAAGGGCUCGUAGGUGGCCAACUAAGUCGAACGUGAAAUCCCCGGGCUCAACCCGGGAACUGCGUCCGAUACUGGCAGGCUUGAAUCCGGGAGAGGGAUGCGGAAUUCCAGGUGUAGCGGUGAAAUGCGUAGAUAUCUGGAGGAGCACCGGUGGCGAAGGCGGCAUCCUGGACCGGUAUUGACGCUGAGGCGCGAAAGCCAGGGGAGCAAACGGG